CGGGGUGUGGCUCAGAGGUAGAGCGCUUGUUUUGGGAACAAGACGUCGCAGGUUCGAUCCCUGCCAUCCCGA
rnacentral:tRNA from 1 species